GACGUAGGGGGCAAGCGUUACUCGGAAUUACUGGGCGUAAAGCGUGCGUAGGUGGUUCGUUAAGUCUGGUGUGAAAUCUCGGGGCUCAACCCCGAAACUGCACUUGAUACUGCCUUGCUAGAGUACUGGAGAGGAGAUUGGAAUUUACGGUGUAGCAGUGAAAUGCGUAGAUAUCGUAAGGAAGACCAGUGGCGAAGGCGAAUCUCUGGACAGUUACUGACACUGAGGCACGAAGGCCAGGGGAGCAAACGGG
rnacentral:rRNA from 1 species